rnacentral:tRNA from 1 species
AUCUGGGUAGCUCAGUGGUUUUAGAGCUAGGCCUAGAGACUGGAGGUCCUAGGUUCAAAUCCUGCCUUAGAUA